UCUGUCUCAGAUCCGCAGCCAGGCGAGCAGGUACCCAAUGGUUCUCUGUUUGCUCGUCAUUGUUGUCCUGUCCCCUUUGGGUGUGGGCUCAGCGUAUGUGGAGCAGCUGCCCUUCCUUACUGGGCACCAAGGACACUCACUGGCUCUGCAGUGUACACUCAAACAGUCCAACUGUAACAGGAUGUUCUGGUACCGGCAGCGGGGAGGCAGGGAGCUGGAGGGGCUCUUCUACUCUUAUGGAGACCAACUGGUGAACUUCACAGCCGAGUUCUUGACAGCCCAGAGGAGCAACAAAAACUGGGACCUAAAAUGGAACAAACUUUCACAGUCAGACUCAGCUGUGUAUUACUGUGCCUGCAGAACUGCACAGUGA